rnacentral:rRNA from 1 species
CAGGCCUUGACAUCCAAUGAACUUUCCAGAGAUGGAUGGGUGCCUUCGGGAACAUUGAGACAGGUGCUGCAUGGCUGUCGUCAGCACGUGUCGUGAGAUGUUGGGUUAAGUCCCGUAACGAGCGCAACCCUUGUCCUUAGUUACCAGCACGUUAUGGUGGGCACUCUAAGGAGACUGCCGGUGACAAACCGGAGGAAGGUGGGGAUGACGUCAAGUCAUCAUGGCCCUUACGGCCUGGGCUACACACGUGCUACAAUGGUCGGUACAGAGGGUUGCCAAGCCGCGAGGUGGAGCUAAUCCCAUAAAACCGAUCGUAGUCCGGAUCGCAGUCUGCAACUCGACUGCGUGAAGUCGGAAUCGCUAGUAAUCGCGAAUCAGAAUGUCGCGGUGAAUACGUUCCC